UAACCCGAGCGAGUAUUCUCCAACAACGUAGCGGCCUCGUCUACUUCGGUAUUGAAAACAAAGCUUGGAAAUGUAGUUGUUAUGUCUCUGCAUGGUUUCAUGUAACAAAAUGGAUGAGGUUCUGGUUGAGUAUGGGAGGGUCAUUACUCUCAAUAAUGAUGGAUUACGGGAGACAAAGCUCUUCCAUUCAUGCAUAUCUAUCUUUCCGUCCUGGUUAGUGUCGGCAUCCAUGAAAGUCUGCUCAAAAUCACCAUGUCCGAACACAUACAAAUGUUAACAUUAUCUAUGGUUUCAUGUAUGAAUAAAUACUACUUGGAGUCUCGAAUACAA